GAUGAACGCUAGCGGCAGGCUUAAUACAUGCAAGUCGAGGGGUAGCAAGAUUGUAGCAAUACAAUUGUUGACGACCGGCAAACGGGUGCGGAACACGUACACAACCUUCCUACAAGUGGGGAAUAGCCCAGAGAAAUUUGGAUUAAUACCCCGUAACAUAGCGAUGUGGCAUCACAUUGCUAUUAUAGCUUCGGCGCUUGUUGAUGGGUGUGCGGCUGAUUAGAUAGUUGGCGGGGUAACGGCCCACCAAGUCUACGAUCAGUAGCUGAUGUGAGAGCAUGAUCAGCCACACGGGCACUGCGACACGGGCCCGACUCCUACGGGAGGCAGCAGUAAGGAAUAUUGGACAAUGGACGCAAGUCUGAUCCAGCCAUGCCGCGUGAAGGAUUAAGGUCCUCUGGAUUGUAAACUUCUUUUAUAAGGGACGAAAAAAGGUCUUUCUAGAUCGUCUGACGGUACCUUAUGAAUAAGCACCGGCUAACUCCGUGCCAGCAGCCGCGGUAA
rnacentral:rRNA from 1 species